GACGUAGGGCGCGAGCGUUGUCCGGAUUUAUUGGGCGUAAAGAGCUCGUAGGCGGCCUGUCGCGUCGGUUGUGAAAGCCCGGGGCUCAACCCCGGGUCUGCAGUCGAUACGGGCAGGCUAGAGUUCGGUAGGGGAGAUCGGAAUUCCUGGUGUAGCGGUGAAAUGCGCAGAUAUCAGGAGGAACACCGGUGGCGAAGGCGGAUCUCUGGGCCGAUACUGACGCUGAGGAGCGAAAGCGUGGGGAGCGAACAGG
rnacentral:rRNA from 1 species